UGUGAACUGCAGGACACAUGAACAUCGACAUUUUGAACGCACAUUGCGGCCAUGCUA
rnacentral:rRNA from 1 species